rnacentral:pre_miRNA from 1 species
UAGACGAACUGGCAAAUGCGUGCACUUUUGUGUCGUUAUUACGGCCGUAAUAACGACACAAAAGUGCACGCAUUUGCCAGUUCGUCUA